CUCCUCUUCCCCGCCACUCCUCCCUCUUCACUCCUCCCCCCCUCUCCAAAACAACACCCAGGGUAAGCAAACUUUAGCUCAGCAAGAUACUACUCUUUCUUUACGCCUUCACUGCUAUAGCGUACUGUAUGACAUACUGUACAAAUAUUGUCGAGGAAGACCAAAAUAAAAUGUCAGCCUGCUUUAUUCUUCUAGGGCGGCUAGUCAUGGGAAAGCCCAGGCGCCAUACCCGUGUCUGGACUUUAGCAGAGCUGACGAAGAGUUUUAUAACACAACAGAGGGAGGUCACUUCUAGGGCUGUGGCAGUCAUUACAUUUUGUCAGCCGGUUCUUGUCAUGGAAAUAACUGCUGGUCUCACGGUAAUUGACCGUUAAUCACAGUUUUUUUUUCUGAAUGCUUAAACACUAACAGUGAUUCUUGAAGCACUAUCUCUGAAACCAUUAACACUUGUAGCCAAUGCAAUUACCAAGUGUGCCAAACUGACUUUUUGCAAAACUGUAAAACAUAACUCACUGCUGUACCCUCAGUUUGCAAUUUAAUAACACACUUCUAGCAAAACUGUAAACAUUGGUCUCUACUUUAAUACACUAUUUCGCCAAUUGCCUUUCCACAUUGACACAUGAAAAAACUUUUAGAUAAUGAGUUAACUUACAAAUCAGAGCUUGAGCACUAUAAAUAGGCCACAGGUAAACAUUUGGAUUGGACAACGAUGGAGGCCAAUAUUGGACGGAGAGUAAGAGGGGUGAGAACUAGAGGAGGACGAGGAGAACGCGGAGGUGAAGAAGUAAGAGGAGGAGGAGAAGGAGAGGGAAGAGGUGAAGUAAGACGGGGGAGAAGAAGAGAAGGGGAAGAGGACGGGGAGUCAGGUACGCAAUAACUGAUGAAAUAGAGCGACUGUGGUUGACCAUGUUGUCAACCAUGGGAUGAGCAUGAGGGAGGCUGGGCAACAGGUUCAACCAAAUCUGAGCCGCUAUACUGUUGCAUGUAUCAUCCGGAUAUUUCGAAAUGAGAACCGAACUGCAAGAAAACCAGUAUCUGGUGGAAGAGGUCAACUGUUCACCCCAGAGCAGGAGACCCACAUUGUAAAUAUAGCCACUGCAAAUAACUGCAUCAGACUCAGAGAACUGCAGGACCACAUAAUGGUAGAUAACACCAUAUUCCUAAACAUCAACAGAGUGAGUCUCUGCACUGUCUCCUCUACUGAAACGCAAUAUAAUUAGGAUGAAGCAGUUGUACAGAGUCCCUUUCGAAAGAAACUCAGACCGUGUAAAACAACUGAGAUAUGAACAUGUGCAGUCAUGGAGCUAGAAGAAGAUGCUACCGUCUCUUACUGUUAAGACCUUCUGGACAUCAGAACUGGGAUUAUUCACCUCAAACUGAACGAGGAGUUCUUCUUCAAUGAGUCGGACGUGAGGGAAAUACUACAGACACCCGACCAGGCCCAGAUCCCCGUGAUUCGCAGGAGAAGGAAACUGAAAAUUUGAGGCAAAAGAUCAGGGUGCCUUGCGAGGAUCAGGCGACGAGUUGCUAAUCUACCCUUGCCUUCCGUUCUGCUAGCUAACGUUCAAUCGCUGGAAAAUAAAUGUGAGGAACUGAAAGUAUAUACAGUUUUUCUGUUCUUUUUUUUCCUAGAACAAAUGUUUUUGUUUUCUUCUACUGCGCUUUUGUUGUUUGAGUGUUAGAACAUAUUGAGAUUUCUUUUGUAUUGAUAGUGUGUUAUGUUCGGAAUACACAUUUGGAUACGUGUAUGUGUGUUUACUACAUGUAAGACAAAACUUUAUUGCAAACUGCUAUGCACACAGAAAAAGCUAAAGGCACACGUGUUUUUCCUUUAUACUAUCAGUGCAUAGUUGGUGCUUCGUGUGCUUAUUCAAAUUAUGGUUUGUGUGUAGUGUAUUGACACACAAAAAAAAUGUUUAAUGAGUUUUGCAAGAAUUGUUUGCUUUUGCGAGAGAUGUAAAAUGUUUUGCUGGUUUGAUGUAAUGUUUUGUGAUUAGUGUGUAGAGUUUUAAAGAUAAUGCCCAAGCAAUCAGAAAAAACUGAAGAAUAAACAUAUUUUGCAUCUCCUGGCAUCCAUGCAUAGCAUAAAAGCCCCUGAUGCAGACCUUUGGAACAUC